CGCUUACCUGCGAUAGUAGGAGCAAAGGUACCGUCUGAAGUGACUGAACUCGCCAGAUCAUUCGGAUAGCUGCUUUCUAAUCCCAAUACCGCACAAAUUAGAAGUCCACGUAGCACCCCAAGAGCCACAGCCCGGCAGAAGGUAGUUUUCAUGUGGACUGCACAACAGAGUGAGCCUGGGAACAUGAUAGCAUCAUCUACGAGAAACCUUUCAGCGGCGAGUGUCUUCAAAGUGACAAGUGACGGUCAGGCCCGCCUGCCCGCAGCGCUGCGCUUCAGCCACAGGGGGCGCUGAGCGCCGAAGACACAGCGGGCGAAGAGGCGUUGCAGAUUAAUCGCUGUGGGCUGCGUCGCCCCGCGCUCCAUGAACAAAGAUUCCAUAUUGCAGAGAACAGCUGGCAGUCUGCCCUACACUGCCGAGAUAUU